rnacentral:rRNA from 1 species
UAAGGAAUAUUGCGCAAUGGGCGACAGCCUGACGCAGCGACGCCGCGUGGGGGAUGAAGGUCUUCGGAUUGUAAACCCCUUUCGGCAGGGAAGAUGGAACGGGUAACCGUUCGGACGGUACCUGCAGAAGCAGCCACGGCUAACUUCGUGCCAGCAGCCGCGGUAAUACGAAGGUGGCAAGCGUUGUUCGGAUUUACUGGGCGUACAGGGAGCGUAGGCGGUUGGGUAAGCCCUCCGUGAAAUCUCCGGGCCUAACCCGGAAAGUGCGGAGGGGACUGCUCGGCUAGAGGAUGGGAGAGGAGCGCGGAAUUCCCGGUGUAGCGGUGAAAUGCGUAGAGAUCGGGAGGAAGGCCGGUGGCGAAGGCGGCGCUCUGGAACAUUUCUGACGCUGAGGCUCGAAAGCGUGGGGAGCAAACAGGAUUAGAUACCCUCGUAGUCCCUGAGCGG